GUAUAUCAUUUCGGCGAGAAGGUAUAAAAUGCGAUCGAAUUAGAUCAACUGGCAUAGUUUACUUUGAAAGCAAACGAAACUAGCCAAAAUGUUCAAAUACGUCUUAUUAUUGGUCGCCCUCUUCGCCAUCAGCAUGGCUGAACCCGAACCAGAAGCGAAACCUGUGUACUAUGGUGCCUACCCAUACUCUUUGGGAUACAGCGCGUACAGCGGCUAUGCUGGUUAUCCUUAUGGAGCUUACUCUGCUUAUCCAUACGGAAGAUACUUCUACUAAAUUUCAAUAGUAAACUUUAAAAUUGUUUGUCGCCUUUUGUAAAAAAUUUCCGCACUGAAUAAAUCUUUCUUUUAUUUUUA